CAGAAACUAGAAGGUUUAAACUUCUAUUUAGGACUUUGAAGGUCCUUGGUUUAGGUUAUCCUAAGUUUCUU
rnacentral:tRNA from 1 species